GACGAACGCUGGCGGCGUGCCUAAUACAUGCAAGUCGAGCGAAUUUUUGGGAGCUUGCUCCCAAAAGUUAGCGGCGGACGGGUGAGUAACACGUGGGCAACCUGCCUAUAAGACUGGGAUAACUUCGGGAAACCGGAGCUAAUACCGGAUAAUUCAUAUCUACUCAUGUAGGUAUGCUGAAAGACGGUUUACGCUGUCACUUAUAGAUGGGCCCGCGGCGCAUUAGCUCGUUGGUGAGGUAACGGCUCACCAAGGCAACGAUGCGUAGCCGACCUGAGAGGGUGAUCGGCCACACUGGGACUGAGACACGGCCCAGACUCCUACGGGAGGCUGCAGUCGAGGAUCAUUCGCAAUGCGCGAAAGCGUGACGGUGCGACGCCGCGUGCAGGAUGAAGGCCUUCGGGUCGUAAACUGCUGUCAUGAGGGAACAAUAUCCGGGACGUGAAUAUCAUCUCGGGGUGAUAGUACCUCAAGAGGAAGCCACGGCUAACUCUGUGCCAGCAGCCGCCGUAAGAC
rnacentral:rRNA from 1 species